UUUAUAAUUAAUUAGUGCAAAUAUUGAGAGUAUCUGUUUUUCAAAUUCUAGUAAAACUUCAUUAUAUAUCUUCAUUUUAACUUACAUAAUAUCCAAGAAAACUGAUAAAAAAAUUACCGUUAAGCACCAAUGACUACGCAUAUUUUGCAAAAUGGAAAUUAUAACGAUAAUUUGAAAAAGAGAAAAAUUAUAAGAAACCUGUGUAUUAUUGCUACAUUGGAAUCCUUAAGUUAUGGCCUUAUGUACCGUUUCAUAACUGCCCAUAUUUCCCAAAGGAUGGGAGCUAAUCAAAUUCACGUGGGUAUACUGCAAAUUGGGCUAUGUUUAGGUGAUCUUAUUUCGCCAGAAGUCACAAACACCUUGACUCUGAACUACAGCAGAAGAAAGCGGCUUCUUUUUAUACUUAGUGUUACAUUAUUAACGAUUUUGAUGAUAGGCACACCGUUGACUCCAACAAAUUAUUGGAGGACGAAGAACUCAGUAAGUUGGUCAUUCAAGAAAAUAGUCCCGUAUCGGUUUUUUUCUAGUUAAAGUUCUGCGUAUUUGUCCAAGCUUCAUGCCCCCAUCUCUAGUAAAAUUGUGAACCACCUUAAGAAGCUGCUGUGGUCCACAAUAAUAACCUCGUGUCUUGCGAAAUGACACAAAUACAGCAGCGAUAUAGAAAAGAGUAAGAUUUUUUGUACUCAUCAGCUUAUACCACCUAUUGAGCCUCUGAUGAAUAGAUGUUAAUCUGAGAAAAGUGUUAAUCUCCAGAGGGUUAUCAAUCGUUUAAUACAUAAUAUAAGACUUGGAAACUUUAAGAUCUUUGAGCAGAAGCAAAGAAAAUUCAUGUGAAUUCUGAAUGAUGCAUCUAUUAAUGCGAAGAUUUCUUUGCCACUAUUGAAUCUUUUUUUAUCUCUUCGCUGCUCCCUUUUAUCGAAAAGAGAAGAAUCUAUUACUUUUAAUGUUCGAAUAUAUAAAAUUCUAGUAAAGAUCUUAAAACAAAACUUAAACCAUGUGAUAUGCGGCUGUAGUUUUUCGGUUGUU
rnacentral:misc_RNA from 1 species